CUCUAGACAAUGAAAAAAAAAAAUCCCAUGUUGUCAAAGAAAGGAUUGAAGGGUUGAUGAGCUUACCAGUUGAAAUACUGAAACAAUGAUGAGUUUUCAGCUAGGCCUCCCUUGCUACCAGAUUUUAUUUUCAUUUUUCCUGUUCUCUCAUGUUUCUUUUUCUGGGGCAAAGAGAAUAUGUGGAAAAUGCUUUGCUUUCCUUGUGUUUUUAAUUAUUC
rnacentral:lncRNA from 1 species